GAUGAACGCUGGCGGCGUGCCUAAUACAUGCAAGUCGAGCGAACGGACGAGAAGCUUGCUUCUCUGAUGUUAGCGGCGGACGGGUGAGUAACACGUGGAUAACCUACCUAUAAGACUGGGAUAACUUCGGGAAACCGGAGAUAAUACCGGAUAAUAUUUUGAACCGCAUGGUUCAAAAGUGAAAGACGGUCUUGCUGUCACUUAUAGCUGGAUCCGCGCUGCAUUAGCUAGUUGGUAAGGUAACGGCUUACCAAGGCAACGAUGCAUAGCCGACCUGAGAGGGUGAUCGGCCACACUGGAACUGAGACACGGUCCAGACUCCUACGGGAGGCAGCAGUAGGGAAUCUUCCGCAAUGGGCGAAAGCCUGACGGAGCGACGCCGCGUGAGUGAUGAAGGUCUUCGGAUCGUAAAACUCUGUUAUUAGGGAAGAACAUAUGUGUAAGUAACUGUGCACAUCUUGACGGUACCUAAUCAGAAAGCCACGGCUAACUACGUG
rnacentral:rRNA from 1 species